rnacentral:rRNA from 1 species
UACAGAGGGGGCAAGCGUUGUUCGGAAUUCCUGGGCGUAAAGGGCGCGUAGGCGGCCUGUUAAGUCGAACGUGAAAUCCCCGGGCUCAACCCGGGAACUGCGUCCGAUACUGGCAGGCUUGAAUUCGGGAGAGGGAUGUGGAAUUCCAGGUGUAGCGGUGAAAUGCGUAGAUAUCUGGAGGAACACCGGUGGCGAAGGCGGCAUCCUGGACCGAUAUUGACGCUGAUGCGCGAAAGCCAGGGGAGCAAACGGG